GACGAGAGUGAUGAGGGGAGAGAAAAGGAAGGGAAGCGAAGACAGGAACGAAAGCACCACAGGCCACGAGAGAGACAAAAGCGAACAAGACGAUAGCGGUUCUUCUUGCCGUUGCUGUGGGUUUGCAGCUCUUCGAUUUCUUGUCGCCAUUACAGAAGCAGAACGAUAUUGACUCUGCAUCACUGCUGUCAGCUACAGCUUCAAGUUACUGUGCUCUUUAGCUCCAGUCCGAGUUUUCUGAGGAGAAAUUUAAGACAAUAUAUUUUUCUUUAGAAUGAUUUGUUACAAUUAAUUUAUUUUUAAAAAUUAUUAGGUAACCAAAAAUUGUUUAAAAAUAUAAAUGCGUCGUAUAAAAUCAAGAUAUGCAUGAAAAAUGAUCAUCGGAUUCAAGCUAAAGGCAAAGGCAGUAUUGCUGUGCAAUUUAAUUUGGAACCUAAAUUUCUUCGAAAUGUGCUAUUAGUGCUAGAUCUGAAGCAAAAUCUGCUAAAUAUUUAAUAACUUUUAUAAAAUAAUUAUAAAGUUCAUUUUGAAGAUAGAGGUUUCAAAAUUUUUGAUUGUAGAAAAAAUAAUUAUCUAUUUGUCAAAGUUGAUAUAGAGAGGUUCAAAAAAAUUUCAAUGCAAAUAAAAUAUGUUUCAUAAGCGACAUUAUGAAAUGAAGUAGCUGACUGCUUAGAUUGAUGGCAUAAAAGGUACAAUCAUCUCAACUAUAAUACUCUAAAGC
rnacentral:lncRNA from 1 species